GAUGAACGCUGGCGGCGUGCCUAAUACAUGCAAGUCGAACGCAUUGUGGUUGAAAUGAUAUGAAGAACUUGUUCAGAUUUGAUUUUCAACAUUGCAAUGAGUGGCGAACGGGUGAGUAACACGUGGGAAACCUACCUCUUAGCAGGGGAUAACAUUUGGAAACAAAUGCUAAUACCGUAUAAUAAUUAAAACCGCAUGGUUUUAGUUUAAAAGAUGGUCUUGCUAUCACUAAGAGAUGGUCCCGCGGUGUAUUAGUUAGUUGGUGAGGUAAUGGCUCACCAAGACAAUGAUACAUAGCCGAGUUGAGAGACUGACCGGCCACAAUGGGACUGAGACACGGCCCAUACUCCUACGGGAGGCAGCAGUAGGGAAUCUUCCACAAUGGACGAAAGUCUGAUGGAGCAACGCCGCGUGUGUGAUGAAAGGGUUUCGGGCUCGUAAAACACUGUUGUAAGAGAAGAAUGACAUUGA
rnacentral:rRNA from 1 species